rnacentral:rRNA from 1 species
CCUACGGGGGGCAGCAGUGGGGAAUAUUGCACAAUGGGCGCAAGCCUGAUGCAGCCAUGCCGCGUGUGUGAAGAAGGCCUUCGGGUUGUAAGGCACUUUCAGCGGGGAGGAAGGCGGUGAGGUUAAUAACCUCAUCGAUUGACGUUACCCGCAGAAGAAGCACCGGCUAACUCCGUGCCAGCAGCCGCGGUAAUACGGAGGGUGCAAGCGUUAAUCGGAAUUACUGGGCGUAAAGCGCACGCAGGCGGUCUGUCAAGUCGGAUGUGAAAUCCCCGGGCUCAACCUGGGAACUGCAUUCGAAACUGGCAGGCUAGAGUCUUGUAGAGGGGGGUAGAAUUCCAGGUGUAGCGGUGAAAUGCGUAGAGAUCUGGAGGAAUACCGGUGGCGAAGGCGGCCCCCUGGACAAAGACUGACGCUCAGGUGCGAAAGCGUGGGGAGCAAACAGGAUUAAUACCCCGGUAGUC